rnacentral:sRNA from 1 species
GCUGGGCAUGGGGGUGCAUGCCUGUAAUCCCAGCAACUCUGGAGGCUGAGGCAGGAGGAUCUCUAGUUUGAGACCAGCUUCAGCAAGUUAGUGAGGCCUUGUCUCAA